GGUUCCAUAGUGUAGUGGUUAGCAUGUCUGCUUUACAUGCAGAAGGUCCUGUGUUCACACCCCAGGUGGAGCCA
rfam:Pteropus alecto contig162697, whole genome shotgun sequence.